ensembl:lncRNA
GUUUGCUGUGAGCGCACACGAAGCUGUGGCUGUGGAGUGUGCAACAGUCCACGCGUGCCUGCGUGUGCUCAUGCGUGCGUGUGUCCACCAGCUCGUGUGCGCUCGUGUGAGCGAGUGCGUUUUGCUCACAACUUGGUCGCAGCGACGGCGCAGGGAACCCCGGGUGAGGCCGAGGACCAGGAAAGGCGAAGGGGGCUCCGACCCACUGGACUUAGGGGAGCCCCGGGUCCGAGACGCCGCCUCUGUCCCUUCAAGAAUCGAGCCCGGGGCGCAGGGCAGAGACGCGGGUCCCCACACGGCCCGGCCCGUAGCUGGUUCCCGCCCCUCCCGGAGCGCGCCCGCUGCGCCCCCGCCCGCCUGGCCGGUGACUCGCGCUCAGGGCCGGCGGGGGGUGACGGUCCCCGAGGCAGAGGCGCUGCAGCCCCAGAGUCCCCAUCCCUGCGCGGACCGGCGACCCCGGUGCACCGAGAGGCCCUAACACAGAGUGCCCAGCACCGAGCCCCCAGCACCGAGUUCUCAGCACUGAGCCCCCAGCACCGGGUCCUCAGCACCAAGUCCCCAGCACCGAGUCCUCAGCACCCAGCCCCCAGCACUGGGUCCUCAGCCCUAACUCCCCAGCACCGAGUCCCCAGCACCGAGUCCUCAGCACCGAGUCCCCAGCACCGAGUCCUCAGCACAGAGCACCCAGCACCGAGUCCUCAGCACCCAGCCCCCAGCACUGGGUCCUCAGCCCUAACUCCCCAGCACCGAGUCCUCAGCACCGGGUCCUCAGCACCGAGUCCCCAGCACCGAGUCCUCAGCACAAAGCACCCAGCACCGAGUCCUCAGCACCCAGCCCCCAGCACUGGGUCCUCAGCCCUAACUCCCCAGCACCGAGUCCCCAGCACCGAGUCCUCACCCCGGGGCACACAGCACCAAGUUCCCAGCACCGAGCCCGCUCCGCGCCCGCCCCUCUGGUUCCCCCGCCCGUCCCUCUCCGCGCCUCACCGGGUCCGCUGCGGGACGCGCUCCUCCGGGAUGCAGCUUCUCCGGCCCCGGAGCCCCAGGAAAAUGAAACAGACGAGAGGGAGGGGCCGGGAGGAGGCGGCGGACCCGCGCCGGACCCACCCCCCGAUGAGGAAGGAGCGGGGUUUACGGGAAGCCGCCGAGUUUCGGGAACACCCCGCGUUCGCAGCAAGCGUGACAGGGAAUUUGCUGUUUUCACGCGAGGCACCGCACCCGCGGUUCACGCUAAAGGCAGCGGGAAAACGGCCAGGGGCGUGUUUCCAGGAGAGUUCGCGUCUGGGCGGGUCCAGCUCGCGCGUUCCCCGCGGGGCAGGUCGGCUCCGCUCGCAGCUGCCGCGAGUCUGUGCACGGGGCGAGCUGGGCGGGUCGAGGGGGCCGCUGCGGGGAGCGGGGAGCGGGGAGCGGGGAGCGGGGAGCGGGGGCGGCCCCCAGACGGCCGGGGUGCGCGGGCAGAGCGAGCGGGGCAGCGGGAGGGUCGGAGGCCCUUUCACAAAAGCGCGCGGAGCAGAGGAGCGAUCCCCCAGCUCCCGCGCAGAGGGUCCUGCACCUGCGGCCCGGGCCUUCGGGCGUCCUGAGGCCCCUGCGGAGCUGCUGGCCUGGCCAGUCCAGGAGGAGGGGCCCAGCCUGUUGGGGCAGGAGAUGGGGUGCGGGUGGAAGGCUCCAAGAUGCAUCUGGGCUGGGAACGCACAGACACCCCAGGUGGGUUGA